rnacentral:rRNA from 1 species
GACGAACGCUGGCGGCGUGCUUAACACAUGCAAGUCGAACGGAAAGGCCCUGCUUUUGUGGGGUGCUCGAGUGGCGAACGGGUGAGUAACACGUGAGUAACCUGCCCUUGACUUUGGGAUAACUUCAGGAAACUGGGGCUAAUACCGGAUAGGAGCUCCUGCUGCAUGGUGGGGGUUGGAAAGUUUCGGCGGUUGGGGAUGGACUCGCGGCUUAUCAGCUUGUUGGUGGGGUAGUGGCUUACCAAGGCUUUGACGGGUAGCCGGCCUGAGAGGGUUACCGGCCACAUUGGGACUGAGAGACGGACCAGACUCCUACGGGAGGCAGCAGUGGGGAAUAUUGCACAAUGGGCGGAAGCCUGAUGCAGCAACGCCGCGUGCGGGAUGACGGCCUUCGGGUUGUAAACCGCUUUCGCCUGUGACGAAGCGUGAGUGACGGUAAUGGGUAAAGAAGCACCGGCUAACUACGUG